UACGAAGGGGGCUAGCGUUGCUCGGAAUUACUGGGCGUAAAGCGCACGUAGGCGGCGCAGCAAGUCAGGGGUGAAAUCCCGGAGCUCAACUCCGGAACUGCCUUUGAAACUGCAGUGCUAGAAUUCUGGAGAGGCGAGUGGAAUUCCGAGUGUAGAGGUGAAAUUCGUAGAUAUUCGGAAGAACACCAGUGGCGAAGGCGACUCGCUGGACAGACAUUGACGCUGAGGUGCGAAAGCGUGGGGAGCAAACAGG
rnacentral:rRNA from 1 species